rnacentral:lncRNA from 1 species
UUUUAUUAAAUAAAAGAAAAGAAAAUGAAAAUUUUAAAUAUAUAUAUAUAUAUUUAUUUUAUAUUUUUUUAAUAUAUUUAUUUUAUUAUAUUUUUUACAUUUUUAUUUAAACAAAAGAAAAGAAAAAGAAAACUUUUUCCCUUUUCUUCUUCCUCCCGUGCUUCACUCCUCCGUUCCUUUCUCCUUCCGUUCGUGCCCUAGCCUCCAACCGUCGAUCUCCACUCUUCCUUUUCUUCUCCGAUCCACGACCGCCACCCCAAGACUUCUCUUCUUCCGUUUCUCUUUCUUUUCCACCAUACCCAGCCGCCGUUGCCCAGAUCCGUUCGCCGCAGCCCAGCCGCCGGCUGUCUCCCCUCUAUUCUCCUCUCCGUUCCGUCCAAACCCAGCCGGACAAAACUGUGAAGUUGCUGUCGGCCGUCUUCUUUCCGGCCAUCCUUCUUUUCUUCUUCGAUUCUAUGCCGUCGUGUCUCCCCUACUGAAGCCGAACGCCCAAACUUCAUCCCGCCGUCUCCAUCUCCGUUCGCGAAGCAACCCGCACACCUCAUUCACGAACAGUCUCGCCGACGCAGGUCACACCGCAUCGCACGAGUUCGGCUACGUUGCCGGGCUACUCCCGUCCGCGCGUAACUGCUGUUGAACGUCCGAACCAUUCUGCCUUCGUCGAUACCCGCUGUCCAUUUACGUAUCGCGGACCGAUUCGCGUGCAUAUUUGUUUGCACGAUUUCUUUUGUGUAGGUCCUGCGGCAACUUCUAUUUUAACGUCCAUUGUCAAAGUCUUGUUAUAAGUUAUUGGUAAGGAUGAGAUUCUCGGGUAAUAAGGUUUUACAUUUGUAAAUACAUUAAGAUGUGAUGUUUGUUUAAUUGGUUGAAUUGAUGUUUGUUCUUGAAGGCGACAUCGGUGAUUUGGAGUUAGUGUCCUUGAGCUACGCCUUAAGCUUUGUUGGAGUUCGAUUCUUUACUCUUUGGGGUUUGUUUGUUGGAAUUAGUUCGACCAAGAAAUUUUACAUAAAAUCGAGGUAAGUGAUUUUCUACUAGACUCACCUAUGCUUGUGAAUUGUGUAUGGUUAUCUCUGACUGAGUAAAGAUGUUGAGAUGAUAUAUAUAUAUACACGUAUGGAUGUAGAUUCGGUGUUGAAUGUAUACUGUGGAUUGACUGAAAAUAUAUAUAUACAUAUGGACUGAAGUAGACUUAAUGUUGAAUGCAUAUUGUGAUUGUCUUGGAAUAUAUAUAUAGGUGUGGAUGUAGACAAGAUGAAAAUCGUAGGUUGUGUUUGUAUGAGAUGUGGAUGUGAACUUGUGAUUGUCGUUUAGACUGGGUGUACAUUACACUAAAGUAUGACUGUGUGCUGGUGAACUGAGGGGUGUUAUGACUGUAUAGUUUGAUUGACUGACGUAUUAGUAUGUUAUUGACAGACAUUUGACUAAAGUGAAAUAAGUUGACUGUUAGAACGUUGAGUGAAAGAACUUUAUGUUUUGAAGUAACUGAAAGAUGGUUCGAAUGGAUUGAGGGGAAAAAUUGUUAGCUUUUAUUGGGAUGUGUGCCUUGUAGGUGUCCCACGGGAUCACCAAUUUAUUCUGCACCUUCGGGAGCAUUAGACUGAUAUGUGUUUCUGCGGAACACUAGACUGAAAUGUACGUCCCUCGGGGCGUUAGACUGAAAUGUGCAUCCUACGGGAUCACAAGACUGCGACUGUACAGGGUGUCCCAAUAGAAUGUUAACAAUUUAUUUUUCCCCUGACGGGACCAGUAGAGGGUCUCUUACUGGGUACUUUAUACUCACCCUUCUUAUGUUUAAUUUUCAGGCAAAGAUAACAAAGGUGGCAAACCGGCGAGGGGCAGCAAGGAAGCGUGAUUGCCAUAGGAAAUUUGUUAUUUUGCUUCCGCUUAUUGUUUCUUUUGAGGUUUAAAGACGUUGUAUUGAAACUUAGUUUACAAACUUUUAUUUAUAAAUAGUAUUAUUUUUAAGUUUUUGAAUAUUUGAAAGUCAGGCCUGACUUAAAGUUGUUUUUCAAUUGGCUUACAUUUCAUUUUGUAUCAGCCAAAGUCUUUUGUCAAAAAUUAAUGACCUCGACUUACCUAGAAAAGUUGGGUCGUUACAGUUGGUAUCAGAGCCUAAGUUUUAGGUUCUGUAGACUGACUUACGAUGUACGUCUAUGUUUUGUAUUCCUAUGGCUAACGCGACCCUUCGUCUCUCGUCAGGUAUGCUUUAUGCUUAUAUGUAUGGUUUAUUUGCAUGACUUUGCCUAAAUUAAACUAGAUUGCAUGACGAUAAAGACUUGCUUAUGCUUAUGAUUAAGACUUUUUAAAGAGUGUUGUUGGUGGAUAAUAGGAAUUAUGCCGCCAAAGAGAGGUGUACGUAGAGGAAGUCGUAGAGGCCGAGGUAGAGGAGCAGGUUAUAAUCAACCUACUGAGGGUCAAGCUGAACCGCGAAUUCCUGCUACACUCGUGACUCACGAUGAGUUUGCUGCACUGUCUGCUCACAUGGAGCAAAGGUUUACGGAACUUAUGACGGCUAUAGCUCAGAACCAGCAGGCACCUGCACCUGUGGUUCCCCCUGUACCAGCAGCUCCACCUGCACCAGCAGCCCCUCCUACACAAGGAUUGGCUGCACAACAGCCGCAGAUAUUACCGAACCAACUUUCUGCUGAGGCGAAACAUUUGAGGAACCUUAGGAAAUAUGACCCUCAGACGUUUGAUGGGUCACUGGAGGAUCCUACUAAAGCUGAGUUGUGGUUGUCCUCUAUGGAAACCAUAUUUAAUUACAUGAGAUGUCCCGAGGAGCAUAGAGUUCAGUGUGUCGCUUUUCUACUGAGGGAUAGAGGCAUUAUCUGGUGGAGGACUACGAUGCGUAUGCUAGGUGGAGAUGUGAGACAUAUUACCUGGGAUCAGUUUAAAGACUGCUUCUAUACCAAGUUUUUCUCGGCUAACCUUAGAGACGCCAAAAGCCAGGAAUUCUUGGAAUUGAAGCAAGGACAUAUGACGGUCAAGGAGUACGACCAGGAGUUUGAUAUGUUGUCGCGUUUUGCCCCUGAACUUGUUGGUAACGAGCAGGCUAGAGCUGAUAGGUUCGUCAAAGGAUUGAGAGAUGAGAUUAGAGGCUUUGUGCGAGCACUAAAGCCCACUACCCAGGCUGAAGCGCUGUGUCUGGCAGUGGAUAUGAGCAUUGGGAAGGAUGAAAUUCGGGCAAGGAGUUUUGAUAAGGGAUCGUCGUCUGGUCAAAAGAGGAAAGCUGAGCAGAGAGCUGUGGGAGUUCCUCAGAGGAACUUGAGAUCAGGCGAUCCUUUUUGCAGUUUCCAGCAGAGUUCUGGCGGGGCAGGAGACACUACUUGAGAGAAGCAACUAUGCAAUACGUGUGGGAAACGCCACCUGGGUCGUUGUUUGAUGGGAACGAGAGUCUGUUAUAAGUGCAAGCAAGAGGGACACAUGGCUGAUAGGUGUCCCUUGAGAUCUACUGGGCUGGACAAAGCAGUCAGGGAGAGAGACCUCCACAGCGGGGUACAAUCUUUGCCACUAAUAGAUCAGAGGCAGAGAAGGCCGGCACAGUGGUGACAGGUACAUUAUCAGUGUUAGGGCAUUUUGCCUUGACCUUGUUUGACUCGGGGUCUUCUCAUUCAUUUAUUUCAUCGCAUUUUGUGACGCAUGCAUGCUUAGAGGUGGAACCCUUAGAUUAUGUUUUGUCAGUGUCUACACCGUCUAGAGAAAUUAUGUUGUCUAAGGAAAAGAUUAAAGCAUGUGAAAUUGAGAUAGCUGGUCGUGUGCUAGACGUAACCUUGUUGGUAUUAGAUAUGCGUGACUUUGAUGUAAUUUUAGGUAUGGAUUGGCUAGCUACUAAUCAUGCUAGUAUUGAUUGUUCUCGUAAGGAGGUUGUGUUCAGUCCCCCUACUGAAUCUAGCUUUAAAUUCAAGGGGGUAGGAACAGUAGUACUGCCUAAAGUAAUCUUAGCUAUGAAAGCUAGUAAACUGCUCAACCAGGGUACUUGGAGUAUUUUGGUAAGUGUGGUGGAUACUAGGGAAGAUGAGACUUCUUUAACUUCAGAACCUGUGGUAAGAGAAUACCCAGAUGUGUUUCCAGAAGAUCUUCCAAGACUACCGCCACAUAGAGAGGUUGAUUUUGCCAUUGAGUUGGAGCCAGACACUACUCCCAUUUCUAGAGCCCCUUAUAGGAUGGCUCCUGCUGAGUUGAAAGAACUGAAGGUACAGUUACAGGAGUUGCUUGACAAAGGGUUUAUUCGACCUAGUGUGUCUCCUUGGGGUGCACCAGUAUUGUUUGUGAAGAAGAAGGAUGGGUCGAUGCGUCUUUGAAUUGACUAUAGAGAGUUGAAUAAAGUGACAAUCAAGAACAGAUAUCCUUUACCCAAAAUCGAUGAUUUGUUCGAUUAGUUACAGGGAGCCACGGUGUUCUCUAAGAUUGACUUACGGUCAGGUUAUCACCAGUUGAGGAUUAGAGACCGUGAUAUUCCUAAGACUGCUUUUCGUUCGAGGUAUGAACAUUAUGAAUUCAUAAUAAUGUCUUUUCGUUUGACUAAUGCACCUGCAGUAUUUAUGGAUUUGAUGAACAGGGUGUUUAAGGAUUUCUUAGACACUUUUGUGAUAGUCUUCAUUGAUGAUAUUUUGGUUUAUUCAAAGACUGAGGCCGAACAUGAUGAACACUUACAUAAGGUGUUAGAGACUCUUUGAGUCAAUAAACUGUAUGCUAAAUUCUCUAAGUGCGAAUUUUGGUUGAAGCAGGUGGCUUUUCUUGGUCAUGUGGUUUCUAGUGAGGGAGUUUCUGUAGACCCUGCAAAGAUAGAAGCGGUUACCAGUUGGUCUCGACCCUCUACAGUUAGUGAGGUUCGUAGUUUUCUGGGUUUAGUAGGGUACUACCGGAGGUUUGUGGAAGAUUUUUCACGUUUGGCUACUCCCUUGACUCAGUUGACAAGGAAGGGAACUCCGUUUGUUUGGAGUCCAGCUUGCGAGGAUAGUUUUCAGAACCUUAAGCAAAGGUUAGUUACUGCACCGGUCCUUACAGUACCAGAUGGAUCCGGAAGUUUUGUGAUUUAUAGUGAUGCUUCCAAGAAAGGACUGGGUUGUGUUUUGAUGCAGAAAGGUAAGGUGUUGCUUAUGCCUCUCGUCAGUUUAAGAGUCACGAGCAGAACUACCCCACACAUGAUUUGGAGUUGGCAGCCGUGGUUUUUGCAUUGAAGAUAUAAAGACAUUAUUUGUACGGUGAAAAGAUACAAAUCUUUACUGACCAUAAGAGCCUGAAGUACUUCUUCAUUCAGAAGGAGUUGAAUAUGAGACAGCGAAGGUGGCUCGAGUUGGUAAAGGAUUAUGACUGUGAGAUAUUGUACCAUCCUGGUAAGGCGAAUGUGGUGGCUGAUGCUCUUAGUAGAAAAGUAUCACAUUCGGUAGCACUCAUUACUAGACAGGUACCGUUACAUCGAGACUUGGAGAGAGCUGAGAUUGCAGUAUCUGUGGGGAGAGUCACCUCACAGUUAGCUCAAUUAACGGUGCAACCAACUCUGAGGCAGAAGAUUAUUGAUGCUCAGAGUAGUGAUCCUUAUUUGAUAGAGAGACGUCGCCUUGUUGGAAUGGGACAGACUGAUGAGUUCUCCAUAUCCUCUGAUGGUGGGUUGAUGUUUGAGAGACGUUUGUGUGUACCAGCGAACCGUGCAGUUAAGAUUGACUUAUUAGAUGAAGCCCAUAAUUCUCCAUUUUCCAUGCAUCCUGGUAGUACGAAAAUGUAUCAGGAUCUAAAACGAUUUUAUUGGUGGCGAAAUAUGAAAAGGGAAGUGGCGGAAUUUGUUAGUAAGUGUCUAGUAUGUCAGCUGGUUAAGGCACCUAGACAGAAAACCAGUAGGUUUGUUACAACCUUUAAGUGUGCCAGAGUGGAAGUGGGAGAAUGUGUCGAUGGAUUUUAUUUCAGGGCUGCCUAAGACCCUAAAGGGUUUCACAGUGAUUUUGGUUGUCGUAGACAGGCUUACGAAAUCGGCACAUUUUGUACCUGGGAAAUCCACUUAUACUGCUAGUAAGUGGACACAGUUGUAUUUAACUGAGGUUGUGAGACUAGCAGUCUGAAGUCCCUUCCAAAACUUGGAAGUAAACCGUGCAUUCCUGUCAGACUGAUGGUCAAACUGAACGUUUGAACCAAGUUUUAGAGGAUAUGCUACGAGCUUGUGUUCUAGAGUUUCCAGGUAGUUGGGACUCUCAUCUACAUUUGAUGGAAUUUGUUUAUAACAACAGUUUCCAGGCUACCAUCGGUAUGACACCAUUUGAGGCUUUGUAUGGCAAAUGUUGUAGAACCCCUGUUUGUUGGAGUAAAGUUGGUGAGCAGAGGUUGAUGUGACCUGAAUUAGUUCGGUCUACUAAUGAGGCUAUUCAAAAGAUUAGAGCACGUAUGCAAACAGCGCAGAGUAGACAGAAGAGUUAUGCAGAUGUACGGCGAAAAGACCUUAAGUUCGAUGUGGGAGAAAAGGUAUUCUUGAAGGUAGCACCUAUGAAGGGUGUUAUGCGUUUUGAGAAGAAAGGAAAGUUAAGUCCUCGUUUUGUUGGACCAUUUGAGAUCUUAGAGAGGGUUGGUGUUGUGGCGUAUCGCUUGGCAUUACCACCAUCACUCUCUGCAGUUCAUAAUGUUUUCCAUGUUUCGAUGUUGAGGAAGUAUGUGGCCGAUACAUCUCAUGUAGUGGACUAUGAACCCUUGGAGAUUGAUGAGCAUUUGAGCUAUGUAAAACAACCUGUGGAGAUUCUGACUAGAGAGGUAAAGAUGCUUCGUAAUAGAAGCAUUCCAUUAGUAAAGGUUUUGUGGCGGAAUCAUCGAAUUGAAGAGGCGACAUGGGAGCGAGAGGAAGAGAUGAGGACUCGUUAUCCAGAGUUAUUUCAAGACUAGAACUUUCGAGGACAAAAGUUUCUUAAGGAGGGAAGAAUGUAACGCCCCAAACUUGAAAGUAAUUUAUUUUAAGAGAAUUAUUUCGAUUUGUUCAAGAUUUUUUUGAAAAUAUGUUGAAGGGGAGAAAGAAGAUUUGAAAAUGUGUUAAUAUAAUUAAAUAAAUAUAUUUAAUUAUUAUAUUUAUUUUACAUUUUAUUAAAUAAAAGAAAAGAAAAUGAAAAUUUUAAAUAUAUAUAUAUCUUUAUUUUAUAUUUUUUUAAUAUAUUUAUUUUAUUAUAUUUUUUACAUUUUUAUUUAAAUAAAAGAAAAGAAAAAGAAAACUUUUUCCCUUUUCUUCUUCCUCCCGUGCUUCACCCCUCCGUUCCUUUCUCCUUCCGUUCGUGCCCUAGCCUCCAACCGUCGAUCUCCACUCUUCCUUUUCUUCUCCGAUCCACGACUGCCACCCCAAGACUUCUCUUCUUCCGUUUCUCUUUCUUUUCCACCAUACCCAGCCGCCGUUGCCCAGAUCCGUUCACCGCAGCCCAGCCGCCGGCUGUCUCCCCUCUAUUCUCCUCUCCGUUCCGUCCAAACCCAGCCGGACAAAACUUUGAAGUUGCUGUCGGCCGUCUUCUUUCCGGCCAUCCUUCUUUUCUUCUUCGAUUCUAUGCCGUCGUGUCUCCCCUACUGAAGCCGAACGCCCAAACUUCAUCCCGCCGUCUCCAUCUCCGUUCGCGAAGCAACCCGCACACCUCAUUCACGAACAGUCUCGCCGACGCAGGUCACACCGCAUCGCACGAGUUCGGCUACGUUGCCGGGCUACUCCCGUCCGCGCGUAACUGCUGUUGAACGUCCGAACCAUUCUGCCUUUGUCGAUACCCGCUGUCCAUUUACGUAUCGCGGACGGAUUCGCGUGCAUAUUUGUUUGUACGAUUUCUUUUGUGUAGAUCCUGCGGCAACUUCUAUUUUAAUGUCGAUUGUCAAAGUCUUGUUAUAAGUUAUUGGUAAGGAUGAGAUUGUUGGGUAAUAAGGUUUUACAUUUGUAAAUACAUUAAGAUGUGAUGUUUGUUUAAUUGGUUGAAUUGAUGUUUGUUCUUGAAAGCGACAUCGGUGAUUUGGAGUUAGUGUCUUUGAGUAACGCCUUAAGAUUUUUUGGAGUUCGAUUCUUUACUCUUUGGGGUUUGUUUGUUGGAAUUAGUUCGACCAAGAAAUUUUACAUAAAAUCGAGGUAAG